rnacentral:rRNA from 1 species
AAGUGGAACAAUCCAUGAGUAAAGUGGCGCCCGGGUGAGUAACACGUGACUACCUACCCUUGAGUGGGGGAUAACCUCGGGAAACCGAGGCUAAUACCGCAUAAUAUCGAGAGAUCAAAGGAGCAAUCCGCUUUUGGAGGGGGUCGCGGCUGAUUAGUUAGUUGGCGGGGUAACGGCCCACCAAGGCGAAGAUCGGUAGCCGGCCUGAGAGGGCGCUCGGCCACACUGGAACUGAAACACGGUCCAGACUCCUACGGGAGGCAGCAGUGGGGAAUUUUGCGCAAUGGGGGAAACCCUGACGCAGCAACGCCGCGUGGAGGAUGAAGCCCCUUGGG